rnacentral:misc_RNA from 1 species
GUUCCAAGUUGGCCCGUCUGUCGGCAUUUCUGCCGGUGAUCAGGUGUGGGUUGCUCGCUACAUUCUUGAGAGGAUCACCGAGAUCGCCGGAGUCGUCGUCUCAUUUGACCCCAAGCCCAUCCCGGGAGACUGGAACGGUGCUGGUGCUCACACCAACUACAGCACCAAGUCGAUGAGGAACGAUGGUGGCUACGAGAUCAUCAAGUCCGCCAUUGAGAAGCUCAAGCUCAGGCACAAGGAGCACAUCUCCGCCUACGGCGAGGGCAACGAGCGCCGGCUCACCGGCAGGCACGAGACCGCCGACAUCAACACCUUCAGCUGGGGAGUUGCCAA